UCCAGAGGUCAAAUUUUUUUUUUUCAAAUUAAAGUAUAUUACAUUAGCUUUAAUUUAAGAUAUAUAUAAAAGUGUCAGACCUUCCGGAACAUUUUCAAAAGUUAAGUUGAAAAAGUUAAUUUUUUGUGAAAAAGUUGUCUUUUUAAAUCCCCCCCUGUGGGCAGAUAAAGGGUCAAAUUUACAAAAAAAAUAUAUCAAAUGAUAGGUAAAGACAUCAAGCAUCUAUAUAAAAAAAAAUUAUAUUGAUACGUUCAUUUUUGAAAAAGUUACGGCAUAUUUUAGUAAAAAAAAUUGAAAAAAUUUCGAAAAUUAGCGAUUUUUAAAUUUGUAAAUUUUUUGGAGGUUUCCCCCAUUUACGGGGAACGAGGGAAUUUUUUUCAAUUUUUAAGGGUAAUGUCUUCGACUAGAUACGAUUUGUGAUCUUUUGACGUAUCGUUGAAAGAAAUCCGUUCGGUGAGAGCUGAGAAAAAGUGGUAACAGACACAAAAAAAAAAAAAAAACACAUCAUAGUAAAACCAAUACCUUCUCAGCUUCGCAUCGAAGCUAAAAUAAUUAUAAUGUAGUAUAAGUACUUGAAUAAUUUGUACUAAAAAUUGUCAUAGCCCUCAUAAUAUAGAUUUUAUAAAUGAAUAUGUUUACAAUAUAAUGGGCGAUAAAUAACGAAUAACAAGAUAACUUUAAAGGAUGGUCUAUUAAUAAUAAUUUUAGUUUAUUUAAGAGACAAGUCUAACUACCGUUUUCAGCAGAUGGAAAUAAUAUUUUCAAAACUGUUGGUUCAUUGAUUAUUCAAAUCAACGGACAGAUAUUUGAGAAAAUUAAUACUGAAGUCAAUUGAGCCACAAGUAGUAAGAGCGACAAAUUGAAAUAUAAGAUUAGCUCAUAAGUAAACUAGCAACGUGGUGUUUAUAAGCAAAAAACGUUGUCAACGAUCUGUUCCUUCAAAAUUCUCAAAGCAAUGUUACCAGUUUGCUUAUACAGCAGGCCACACAACUGACAAGUGAAAUCGACAUUCAAAUUUAUUAAAAACAAUUGAUCAUAUUGAGAAGAGAAAAAGACUUUAAAGAGAUGUAAUGAUGGAUCACUGAAAAACAGUAUUGUUAAUGCUUCAAAACAUCUUGAAGAAAAAUAAAUAAAUCAGUCAGUUUUGGAGGAAUUUUUAAGCAAAAAAAAUUUUACUAAUCAAGUGCUCUAGAUCAAUUACGCAACAAUUUAUUAUAAGUGUUAAUUUUCCAUUUAGAAUAAUUGAAAAUCCUGUUUUAAAGGAAAUAAUUGAAUGAGAUUUCCCCAACAGAAAACUUAUGUAUCGGCCUACUUAAAUGAAAAUUAUUGAGAAUGGCUUUCAUAAAUUAUCCUUCAAAAUAAAAUCUGAGAUAUUUAAAUGUGAUCAUAUUGCAAUGACUGCAGAUGGUUGUUAAAUUUUUAAAAAAUAUUUUUUGUUAGAUUGUACAUUGGAGUAAUAGUCAUAUAGAUCAAAAAGAAUUUACUUAGAACUACUAGUCUUUUAACACUAAGAAGACUAGAAGGGUCACAUACAUAUGAUAUCUUAGCUAAAUCUAUAAAUGAAGUAUACACACAGUUUGAAAUUUCGGAUUAAUUUUAUUGUACUACAUAUUAUGGUUCUAAUUUUGUAAAAUGUUUUAAAAUAUUAGUCAUGUACUUGAUGAAAAUAAUGAAAUUUCUAAUCAGUUGCUUGUGAACAAUUCAGUAGAAGUAGAUGAUAAAAUAGAAGAAAUUGAUGUCGUAAAUAGGAGCUAUGUUACUAAAAUCAUAGAUUUUUUGCACACGCAAUUAAUUUGAUAGCAACAUUGGUAAAUAUAAAUGAAUAUAGAUGGAUACCAUCCAUUAUAAAUUUAAAAGGUAACAUUUUAGAUCAAAUAUUUUAUUUGGUUAUAAACCAUUUCUGUAUAAUACUCUAAAAAAUCUUUGUGUAUUGCUGCUUUUAAAAAACAGUCCAAAAUCACUUUUGUCAAGUCAACUGCUUUGUAGAACAAACAAGAGAACUCGACCAAGUUAGCUGAUUUAAUCAAAUAAAAUCUUGGUGUUUAUUUAAUAACACCCUACGAGACAUGUUGGAAUAUGAUGCAGUGGUGUUGCUUAAUAAAUUAAUUAAAAAUAAUGAACUUCAAUUUAGAAUUAUUAUGGAUGAAUUGGCUAUUAUGAUUAUAUUUCAUUGUAUAUAUAUAUAUAUAUAUUAUAUUUUUUCAAAUUUAAUAGAUAUGAGAUUGAAUUUUUAAAUCAAUGUCAAAAAAUAAUGGGACUAAUUUCUGUAAGCCUUGAUUUACUGUAAGGUGAUACUAAUUUAUAUUUUGGUAAUCUCUUACAUACUAUUGAAAUAAAUAAAUAUAUAUAUAAAAAUACAUAAAUAUAGACCAAUGACAUUUGAUCACACAAUUCCUAAUUAUAUGUAUGAAAACAAAGUUUUCUAAUUCUUAGAUGAACAAUUUUUUAAUUACUGCUAUUGUCUGCCACCUACAAUUUAAAAUUGUCUGGAUUAAAAAUGAAGUAAAAAAACAAAUGACCACUGAGUAUUUUACAAAUGCCUGUUAUGAAUUUUACCAAAAUAUUUGUGAAAAUGAUUCUACAGAUUAUAGCCAAAGUCAUGAUAAUUUAUUGAGAUUCUUUACCGAUUGACAGAUUCUAGGGUACAUCUACGGCAAAUCAUUAAAAUGUUUACAUAAUUUACCCACAAUUAAAAAAUUUUUCAUUAAACACAACAUUGCUCUAUCAAACAUUGCAUAAUUUGAGAGAGUUUUUAGUGUUGUUGGUGCUACAAUCACUAAAAAAAGGACUAACAUGUCUAAUAAACAAUUUGAAUAAAUAAUAUUUUUUAAGUGUAACCAACAAUUUUUUUAUUUAAAAAAAUUAACUUCAAAUUUCAAAUUUUUUUUUUUUCAUUUGAAGAUUAUUUUAAAUACAUAGUUAUUAAUAGUACUUGGGUGGUUAUUUAAGUAUUAUUUUUGGAAAUUUGUUGAGUAAUUACUUAAAUAUAUUUUAAAAGUAUUUUUUACAACACU